rnacentral:rRNA from 1 species
AUACGAAAGGUGCAAGCGUUGUUGGGAUUUACUGGGCGUAAAGAGAGUGUAGGUUGUUUAUUAAGUCGGAUGAGAAAUCCCGGGGCUCAACCUCGGAACUGCAUUCGAUACUGAUAGGCUAGAGUUUGGGAGGGGUAAGCGGAAUUCCGUGUGUAGCAGUGAAAUGCGUAGAUAUACGGAGGAACACCUGAGGCGAAGGCGGCUUACUGGACCAAUACUGACACUGAGACUCGAAAGCGUGGGUAGCAAACAGGAUUAGAAACCCUAGUAGUCC